rnacentral:rRNA from 1 species
UACGUAGGGGGCAAGCGUUGUCCGGAAUCAUUGGGCGUAAAGAGCGUGUAGGCGGCCAGAUAAGUCCGCUGUGAAAUCUCGAGGCUCAACUUCGAGCUGUCGGUGGAAACCAUCCGGCUAGAGUCCGGAAGAGGAGAGUGGAAUUCCCGGUGUAGCGGUGAAAUUCGUAGAUAUCGGGAGGAACACCAGUGGCGAAGGCGGCUCUCUGGACAGGUACUGGCGCUGAGACGCGAAAGCGUGGGUAGCAAACAGG